GUGGCGUGCCGCUUCUUUCAUUAUAUUCCCUGAAUGCUCCAGCGUUGACGCCUUGACGGUGGGAACCCCUAUUCUUAGCAGGCAGGUGUGUAAGACAUCUUCAGCAUACCAUCUGGUCCGUCCCUGGAAAUGUCCGGCGUCCAGGAGCAGUUCGAGAUCAAGUUCCGGCUGCCGGACGGCAUCGACAUCGGGCCCAGGCGCUUCCCGCCGGCGUCCACCGUCGCUACGCUCAAGGAGACCAUCAUCGCCCAGUGGCCCAAAGGUGAGUCCCCGCACGUGCGCGCUUCGCUUUCCUUCCCGCUGUCGUGGUUACAGCGCAACGGUGGAGGAGAGAGAGAGAGAAAAAAAAGAGAAAAGAUUGGUUCUUAGCACCGGCGAGUGGCGCUGGAGCUGUGCGAUUGGUAAUUUGGUAUUGGCGCGGCCGUUGCUUUCCUGGGUCGGAUUCUGCUCCUGGAACGCCCACCAUCUAGUUUGGAAUCUUGAGGCGAACCAAAAAGUAAUCUGUCGAGCUUCCUGCCAAGCAUAUUUGGUUGGCGCUAUUACUGCUGGAACUUAUGGUGCUUAGGUUCAAUUAAUUUGCUGGCGUUGCUCAUAUCCAAAUAAAUUUCAUCUAGUUUUUUAUCUGCUAAAUGUGUGUAUGUGUGGUAUGGUGGAGUGGUCUAUCCAAAUUAACUUUGGAGAGACGGCAAUAGGUAUUUGGAGUAACUUUGGAGUAACAAAUAAAGAGCAGUUAGUGCUCCAGCCUCCAGAGCAGUUAGUAAAGUAGAGGAGACCUUACAUUUUAAGUAAGCGUACUUGUAUCUUCCCUUGGAGCAAUGGAGCAGCUGAGGAAGUAGUCAUCCUUGAAGUGAGCGCUACAUUAUAGUUUAGCUACUUUUUAUUUAUUGUUUUACACAUCUUUUAAUGCUCAUUUGUGUCACUCUAGCGCCUACUCCUGAAUUCCUGAUAUGGAUUAAACUUCAUGUGUGGUUAACUGAUUGCAGUGAAAGAAAAAGGCAUACAGGCAUCUGAAUAUCAUGGACCUUACUACCUUUGUAGCGACUAUGCACCAUUCUUUCUUAUGAAAUAUCACAUUUGAAUGAGGGUGGUUCUAACCUCAGCAUUGAACAGAGAACCAGAUCAUAUUAGAAGGAUCGUGUUAGACCAAUUUGUUUGAUAGCAACUUCUGCCCAAGUGCUCUUGUUUUCUUUUGAAGAAAUAAAGAGCCAGUGGGCAGUGGUCCUUCAGGGCUAGGGCUAGAUUGUUGGCUGUCUGAUUUGGCAAUUAGAACUUCUUUGGAUCAGUAGCAAGAGGUGCUUCUGUCUACGUGAGCGCAAAAUUUCUGAUGAUUUGGUGAGAGGUGCUUCAGUCUAUCCUGGCACCAAUUUUCUGAUGAUUUGAGAUCAAGCUGCGUAGCUGAUUAAGGAAUAAGGACUAGCUGCUACACCAGUGUUAGAAGAAUAGUAACGGUAAGGAAGUGUAAUCAGAAGUACUAGAGAUGUCAUGCUCAUACCGCUGAGUAUUGCAUUAAUGCUCCACUUGUAUACAUCUUACACCGACUUAAAAACUGUAUAUAUAUGAAUCACUCCCUGCAAAUGCUUGGCUUCUGUUUGCAAUGGAAGGCCAGGUUACAUUAGCAACAAAGUUACUUUUGUGUUCCUUAUGAACAGAGUAAAAAAAGUUUAAGCUCUUAGACUAUUUAUUAUGUGUGGUCCAACAUAUGUACUUCUACUUGCAGUAUCUAGAGCAACAGCCAAUAAAUACAGCAACAAGAUCAAGUUCUGCUAUUUAAUAUCUAGAGUUGACAAAUAUGUUCUUCAUGAUUCUUUCAACCGAAAUGUCUGGUAUGACUUGUUACAUUACAAGAUCAUAAUCUAUAAAGUCAACUAGAUAAAAAUUGUAAGUGCAUAAUGCAAGUACUGCUUGAUUGAGCAAGUUGUGCCUUGUCUUAAUCGCAUAAUGUUCAACAGCUGAAUAUAUACAUCAUAAUUUAAUUUAACGGGUUUGAUUAAUGUCACAUGAUCUGUUCUAUGUAAGCCUGUUAUAGGCCCAAAUUUAACUGCUAGAACUGGUGCUAAACUAGCUUAUUCUAUAGCGGAAUUUGAUUAGAAUGCUUUGGUGCCAAUACCCAUAGGAAACUAUCAUGACUUGGUUCUUUUUCUCAGGAAAUUGAGAAGAAGUGGUUCAUCUUGAAUCUGAAUCUUAGUUCUGCUUGCUAACUAGAUAUUAGAUACAUGUUUCUGCUUUUGACAUAACCUGUUUUUAAAUGGAUUGUCUCAGAGCUGUUUCCUUAUCCCAGAGAGUAGGGGUAACAGGAUGUGGCAUCUUGUCACAUGGUGCGGAAGAGUGAAGUAGCGAAAGCCGAACUUACUUUUGAAGUUUCAUGGUUCUAGUUGAAUAAUGCAUAGGACAAAGGGAUCACACUAUCAAUCUGCCAAUCUGAUAAGGAGAAAGGUCCUAGGACUGUGAACGAUCUUAAGCUUAUUAACGCUGGGAAGAUACUGGAGAACAACAAAACCCUGUCAGAAUGCAAAAGUCCGAUCUGUGACUUCUCUGGGAUGACAACGAUGCAUGUCGUCGUCCGCGCACCGACUUCAAGCAAACAGUCUGGUAAAAGAGCAGCAACGAAAGCGAAAGGUUUCAGGUGCGGUUGUGCCAUUAUGUGACAGAGAAUGCCAGUUUUCUCCCUUUUUCCGCUCUUGCUGGAGUGUUGUAUCAUGUUUGAGGCGCUUUCUCCUUUUAUUUCCUUUUCAAGUAUUGUGGGUAAGCUUAGGUAUACAAUCACUCAUUUUGGUGCAAGCGUGCAAUCAAACUAUCCAGAGCAUCCAAUCUAGAUCCAACGGUUUCAUAUGGAAGUGGUUAAAAUUAAAAUAGGUACUAUGUUUUAGGUGUAAGGGGUUAAAUAUAAAAUAACAGUCAUCAUUAGAUCUAGAUCGGAUGCACCAGAUCGCUUGAUUGCAUGCUUGCACCAGGAUAAGUGAUGGCAUAGGAUAUUUUCCCGCGGUUAAGUGCCCAUUAAUCACGAGUUUGCAUCGAACACAAAAUUGGAAGGCAGCUUGCUGCUAAUUACCCUUAAUCUUAAGUUAUGCCAAGCACACACAAUUUGAAGGCAGUCAUUAGUGUCUAAACUGCGAUCUUCCAUGAUUUCAGGUUCUCUUCUAUAUUUAUGCUACCCCGGGUGACGUGAUGAACUUUUCGGAACGGCGUUCUAACUGAUCAAUUUACAUUACGUAACACCAAAACCAAUUGUAAUCUGAUAACUAAGGAAGCUUUGGAGGCAGAGGAGCGGGCGUUAGCAGGUUGGUGCAAGGUAGUAAAUAUGUUGACGGGUCGCACAGGACCGGCCGCGGGUGCAGAAGCCGCCGAAAAAUAUGAAACUUUGUUUCGAAGCUUUGCAGCUUUUAUCGUUUUUAAUAAUGAGUUCUGUUUUCAA